rnacentral:rRNA from 1 species
UACGAAGGGGGCUAGCGUUGCUCGGAAUCACUGGGCGUAAAGGGUGCGUAGGCGGGUCUUUAAGUCAGGGGUGAAAUCCUGGAGCUCAACUCCAGAACUGCCUUUGAUACUGAGGAUCUUGAGUACGGGAGAGGUGAGUGGAACUGCGAGUGUAGAGGUGAAAUUCGUAGAUAUUCGCAAGAACACCAGUGGCGAAGGCGGCUCGCUGGGACGUCACUGACGCUGAGACGCGAAAGCGUGGGGAGCAAACAGG